rnacentral:tRNA from 1 species
GCGCCUGUAGCUCAGCUGGAUAGAGCAACGCCCUUCUAAGGCGUGGGUAGCAGGUUCGAGUCCUGCCAGGCGCACCA